CUUAUACUCCCUCCGUCCAACAAAAGAUGUCUCAAGUUUGUCAAAAUUUGGAUGUAUCUAGACAUGACUUAGUGUAUAGAUGCAUUCAAAUUUAGUCAAAGUUGAGACAUCCUUUGUUGGACGGAGGGAGUAGAAA
rnacentral:pre_miRNA from 1 species